GGAAAAUCAAAAUGUAAAAAGGAAAGUGAGAAAUGCCAAACCUCUAAUUCUAGCUCUUUGUUAUCUGUUAUUCCAUUUUUUUUUUUUUGCUACAUAUUAAUCUGAACCAUCCCUAUCCUGUAAUUUGCGUUAGGGUUUAUAAGUAAUUAACUACAUAGGAAAUUGUAUUAUUUCUCUUCCUUUUGACAAAUGUAGAUCGUAACUCUGAAACCCACAUUUUGGAAUUGAGCGAAGAGUUCCCAAUAUUUUUCCUUUUUGCUAUUUAAUUUCUUCUGUAUAGGUUUCUGCUAGAACCCGAAAAAUUUUCCUUUUUGCCAUACCACAGCAAUGCAUGUUCCUUUUUUACACAGCAAUGCAUGUUCGUUUUCCAUUCGUCACUGGAUGGCCCUCUGGCAGUCCUUUAUAGAUUUUUGGAUUACUUAAGCAAAUUUGACUGGGAGAACUAUUGUAUAAGUUUAAAUGGACCAGUAUGCAAAUCAUCCUUGCCUGAUAUAGUGGCUAAGGCACCCGAAAACGGGAGAGAUGAUCUACUGCUGAGUGAAGAAUUUAUUCGAAAUUGUGUGGAAAUGUUCUCUGUUCCAGCAAUGAGACAAACUUGCGAGCUUUUUCCCUGAAGCAUCUUAAUUUAAUAGAUCCACUGAAGCAGGACAACAACCUUGGGCGAAGUGUCAGCAGAAGCUGAGAGAACUUAUUAGGAUGAGAAAAAGAAAGAUUUGUUUGAAAACUUGCGGAAGAAACAAUGAGGCGGUUGAAGUGCAGAAUGAAGGUUUACAUUAAUGCUACUAGGCUAGAUCACUCGGUGAAAUUUUCAUCUCGAGGCGAUUGGAGCUGAAUAUGGAUAAGUUUUUGAGACUUUAGACUUUUUGGACCUCUCAAGAUUGAUGUGGAUCAGUAUCACAGUACACAUUUCCACGAUUCUAUGUAUUCGGUGUUGAGUGCAAGAUUAUUAGGUCCACAAUCAUUGGAUGCAUGAUCUUUCAUGUGUUUUUACCAUAAUAUAUCAUAAUCUAAAAACUCAUCAAUUUCCGACCAUCUCCAACAUCUCCGUCACCUUUCAGGCUAUUUUCCGACCAUCUCUGUCAACCAUUGGGCUUGUAAAUAGAAAUGGCAAUUGAAAGUUCAAGGAAAGGUACUAUGUUUCCUCAUAGGCCGACUAAGCGUUGAGCUUGAGGGCUUGAAGAGAAAAGCGAGUGUAAGACAUGAAACCUUGAAGGACUUUGUUAUGAUUUUAGUUAAGUGGAAUAUUUCUUUAAAGUUUGGACUUUGUUAUGUUUAUUUUAGGUGUGGAUAUUUGAAAUGUGAUGUUUAUUUUAAAUUUGGACUUUUGAAGACUUAAA